AUGCGGAGGUCCAAAAAGCGUCAACACGAGUCGACAACCGGUCCAUACCAGAGGUCGGUCGAUGCCCGGCAGCUAUCCCCGGGCAUGGACGACUACGGGAUGGAUGAUCGCCACAUGGAUGGUCUGGAGGGCGAUGACGGUGAUCAGCCAUCUCCUGGCGAGGCCAACUUCUCCGUCGACGUCGACGCCACGACGUUGCCCACACCAAAUUCCGAUAACCAGCCAUCUGCCAGAAGAGCGGAGUGUUGGCGACACUUCGAAUUAUUCACCGAGAUGGUUGACGGAGGUAACACAGUGGUCAAAGCGAGGUUCCAAGACUACUGUAAAGCGAAGAAUAAACCUGGACGGAUGUUUGGCAUUGUGAAGAAUAAACCUGGACGGAUGUUUGGCAUUGAUUUGGAAAUUGCCAAGGUUGCCAUGAACUCAAUAGGUGAUGCAGUGGGGCUUGAUUAUUCUGAAGCUUUUCAACAUGUCAAUAAUGAGCUCUAUAGGGUUUUCCGUCUGUACCGAACCAAGCUUGGUGGUACUCCCCGAGUUCCUGAGCAGACCUCACAAAAGAAAGCAAGCAAGUCA
rnacentral:lncRNA from 1 species